AUUACUUUUGGCGGAAUACAAGGAAGUGAUUCUACUCUGAUUUCGGCGACUCCCUCUGUGUUUCAUCCCAGAGUGAAUCCCCAGCCUGGGAUCAUCAGGGGAGUUAAGUAGCCACUCAAGCACAUGGCCCUUGUUGGAGGGCUGGAUCUUGCAGGCAUGGGGAGGAGACCAUGUGUGAUGGUGAUCAGUUGCUGUGAAGUGGUAAGCAGCGGGACAGAGCACAGCCACAUAGCCCCAGAAGCAGAUCCUUGCACCCCUGCUUCUCUGGUGGGAGCAGUGAGCGAGUGGCUGCAGCUUUGCAGAUGGCCUGAAGCCGGGGAGAGAUGCAGUUGUGGGCAGGGAGGAAGCGGGGGUCUGGGAUGGCGGCUGACCUGUUCCCCGGAAUAGCCCCGUGACCUUGACCGGGCACAAGGAACUCCCUAGCCAGCCCAGUGAUCACCCCAAGUCUGGAUUGGAGAACAGGCAUUUGAUGUCUGGUCCACUCUGUCCUUGGCCUGCAGCUGCCCUUGGCUUGCUAAGCCUCAGCUGCUGCUGCAGUGGCUGCAGAAGAGAGGGGGAAUGCUGACCCCAGGCUCCUGGAGAGCUUGUUCCUGGCCUCUCCUCCAGGGCUCUCAGGAGGGGUUGGGGCCCAGGCCCAUCCUACAGAGGAGCCUCGUGGGAGUUGGGUGACAGGCCAGAGGAGGGCUUCCUGGAGGGGCCAGGACUGCAGAGGCCACGUGCCUCACUGCCUAGAUGACAUUGGGCAGGGCGCAGCCACUGCUGGGGAUGGACCCCCUGGCUGAGAUCAGUGAGCACUGGUCUUGGCUCCAGUGUGUGUGUGUGUGUGUGUGUGUGUGACUGCUGAGCUGCUCUGUGCAAUAAGUGUGAAGCACAUGUCAGCGGUAGACAGAGCUGUAUUUGGAUCUGGAUAUCUGUGUAUAUGUCUACUGACUGCCUUAGAAGGCCCAUUCGGCUCAGUAUUAAUACUUUCUCUCCCAGGACAGAGCAUACUUUUGGAAGUCCUUUUCUAUUGUGUAGCUGGGCAGUGACAGUGCCUGCUCCCGUGCGACUGCACACACUCACGUGCAUCUGGAGGUUGAUCAGCUGGAGCCUUGACACGGACGUGCAUGCUUGUCUGCUCUUCACCUGGACUGUAGCAGUCAGGUUUCAGUCAAGGGCUGCAUUGUUUUGGAUCAUUCUUCAGGACAGGAGCCUGAGGUUGGCCCUGUUGUUGCCCAGGGCCCUCUGGGAGAAGACAGCCCAUUUCUUCCUAUCCGGGAUGCUUUUGAUGACAUCGGAGCCACCUGGGCGAGCAGGAGACUCCAGGCUCUGGAGCUGUGGCUUACCCCCACCUGCUGAGUCCAUCCUGCCCCUCCCACACAUGGGGACACAGCCCAGGUGCAGGAGGAAAGGCCCUCGCUGGGGCAGGAGCCUCGGCCGUGCCCAGAAAGCCAAUGGGAAUCUCCGUUUCGUGGUUUCCAGAUAA
rnacentral:lncRNA from 1 species